GCCGACUCAGUGGUCAGCGGAAACUUGAUGAUAGCAUAGUGGUCAAGCUUGUUUCUCCUGGGGGUGUUCUUCCGAGGAUAUCUGGGCUGCCUCUGGAGUCACAGUGUCUUGGGCCACCUGAAGGUGGGUGACAUGUGGAUCUUCUUUUUGCAUGUGGCUGUGGACACCUUUCAACACUGCCUUAUUGGCCUUUAAAGCCUUCGCUUUGGCUUUGGCUUUAGGAGGAGCAGGAGCUUCCUUCGCUUUUGGUGCCAUCUUGUGAAAAGCAAAAAACAUUAUUUCAAAUAUAA
rnacentral:lncRNA from 1 species